rnacentral:lncRNA from 12 species
GUGAAGCCAGAUAUCACUGAAGUUGGUUGGAUACAAAGCAGGGCCAGGGCAAAGGAAGAAUGAGAAGGGGAGGACACAGCAACCCUCACAAAGAAUGCGGAUUCUCCAGACGCAGACUAACGCCAAGCUCCGGAGAGUUCGGGACCCGGUCAUCACCCCUGGAUGUAUUGGCAAUGCGACUACUUCCGCUGGCCCACAGCUCUGCCCUGACAGGCUCUCAGAGGUCACAGCAGGGGCCUGGAAGAUAGAGUCACCAACACAGAGACUGACUAGGGCCGGAGGCCAGAUCGGGAGACCUGGCUGCUUCUCCCAACUCCUGACAUCCCCCUCCCUGCUCCUGACUCUUCCUCCCUCCCCACCCCCCCACCUGGCUUUCGGGGCAAGGCAUUCAUUUGCCUGCCUUUCCUUCGGUCCCUCUCCUGCACCCACGAUAAGGAGCCCGCCCGGCAGCUGAGUGAUUGUAUUUUUUUACAGUUCCUAGCACAAACCUUCUCAUUUAUAUGUAAAGCAGCCAUUAGUCAUAGCCCCGUUCCCACACACUGCCUGAUGUACAAUCACAUUUUGCAGCGGAUGAAUCUUUCCACACAGCUGCUCUGCUAUGAAUAAUCCGUCUCCAGGCCCAUAAAUCAGAAAAAAAUCAUGCACCUCGUUCGCCUGAUCCUUACACAAAGUCAUAUAUUUUACAUGAGGACGAGCUAAAUAUUCAUGAAUCUUAAAGGCUUUUUUCAUAGGCACUUGUUGGGGUUGUUUUCUGCUAUUGGGGGGAUACCAAGGUUGGAUUUAGGAGAACCAGGGAUUUUGGAGAGGGGAGAGGAAGAGGAAGUGGGAGAGAAUAUGUGUGUGUGUGUGUGUGUGUGUGUGUGUGUGUGUGUGUGAGAGAGAGAGAGAGAGAGAGAGAGAGAUUGAUUGAGAUUCUAAGCUUAUCUCUUAGUCUAGGCGUCAUGUGGGACAAAGGAUGCUCAUGUGAAGAAGCCUUAAAAACAUGACAAAUACUUGUUUACUGAGCUUCCAUCCUGCUCAGAGCCAUGGUUAUUGCCUCUCUGACCUUCAAGGUCAUUUCAUGAACCUUUGUUUUCUGACCCGUGCAGCAGUGACUUUGGCCCUCCUCUGUGUAGGGAAGUGGCUGGGAGCCCCAUCUGGAUCUGAUAAAAGCAGAGUUUGGGGUAAAGGAAAGGAAACCACUCUGAUGCUAACAAAGCCUCUGACCUACACAGGACUUCAGGCCUUUAGCAGCUUCCUGGUAAUUUGUUUAGACCCCAUUUUCACUCCGGAAAGCACUUAAGGUAGCUUUCCUCACCCUCCUGGUCAUUUCCCUCCCUCCCCAUCCGGG